ACGUGCUCCAUGCAUUAUACAUGUCAUGUUUUACAGUCUCUCGUUAAACUGUAAAACGGAGCAGCGUGGCGACUACACAUCGGUCUGGUCCCGUGUUCAGUGUGUCGUAAAUGAUCGGCUGCAGUUUUCUUUCCGACAAUAGCAGAAUGCUUCAUUUGCAUUGUUCGUUAGCGAGCGGCAGCCCCGCAACCCCGGCGAGGACGCAUUGUGACUAUUCUGCCGACAGUGUCGACUCAUGCAUGACAAAAAGUCACCUGGGAAACACGUGUUUUCACUUUUUGAUUUCAGAAAAGCUCUGAUCGGGAGUUGGGCUGUGACGGAAAAGGUCAAAAGGGGAACAAAAUUAAGCGGGAUGAAUUCAGUGAUACUUGAUUUUUAAGUUUUAGUGAUUUAAAAGGACAAUGACAGAAUACUGAAAAGAUUUUUAAGUCUUUAAACAUUACAGGGUAUUUUUUAAUCAAUAUAUAGAUUGUACAGGAAUAUGUAACAUGGAUUUUUGUAAUCACUAGGAACUAAUAGCUUAAAAAUAACUUAAAUUGUCAUCAGAAUUAAGUAAUAAUGCAACAUAUCCACUAGAGCUGGCACACUAAGUAUCUAGACCGGGCCUGUUCGGGUCCAGAGCUCCCAGUCAAGACUGCUAGCUGCACGGCUAACUGAGCUAAAUAACUGAUAGAAACUACAGUUGGUAUCUGAGCGGAUAUGACUUUGACAGGUGGUUGCUUCUUAUAUAUAGCAACGUUAAGAUGAUAUUGUAUAGAUGUUUCCUUUGGACCAGUUGUGCCAGAGCUGUGACUUGUUUUGGACUCGUAUGGAUCUCAUAAGAAAACCUUCAAUGAUCUAAAACAAGGUUAUGUUUAAGGACAACUUCUUCAGAGAGUUCAGGAAGAAUGUUUUGGUGAACUGUUUCUUUCUAUUGCGUCGCCCCCCUGCAGCUCAUUAUUUGUAUAUUCCAGCCUCAUCUCUUCAGUAUUGACCUCUUAUAUUGUUUUGGGAAAUUGUUCAUUACUAAUUCUAUCAUGUUGCCUUAGAUAUCGUGUGGCCCAGUGGCUGGUUACCACUGUAAUCAGCUAAAGUUAAUGCAGUUUUAUGAAUGGAGCUUCAUAUCAGGGGGAGACAAUGGCCUUUUUUAUGGAGAAGGCGACAGCAGAGGCGGAGAGAAAGAGAGCCGAUGGGAGAUAGAACCUCCCGCUGGUUUCAGAGCAGCAGCCGGCCAAAAUGCUUAAUGAUUAUGAGUCUGUGUCUUCUGUUAAUACUGCAAGCAGGCAUGUGUUCGGAACUAUAAAACAUUGCAGCCUGUUUUGCAAAUUGCGCGCCACGAAUGUAUGCGGUGAUGCUACAUUCGGUAACCGUAUCCUCAGAUCAAUUUGAAUAAUUAGAGGUCAGGAGCGUGUGUGUCUUUGUGUGUGUGUGUGUGUGUGUGUGUGUGUGUGUGUGUGUGUGUGUGUGUGUGUGUUUCUGAUCUCUUCCCUUCCUGUUAAUUCACAGCACUAUCUUAAGUCCUGCUGUUGAUGGAUUAUCCCUCUCCUUUGGUCAUACCACGUCAGAUUUUACAGACUGCUGCUCCCACAAAUCUGUGCUCUAUGUUGCCAUGACAACUUAUUACCGCUAUGUGAAGAAGAAAAAAAAAAAAAAAAAGAAAAAACGGUGCCUUCCUCUGGAGGCACUGUCUGAAGAUAUGGUGAAAGGGAAGCAAUUCAGUUCUGGGGGAAUGCUUAUUUGUAAUCGAGUUUAAUUAACCUCGUGCGCUAAUGCGAUUGGUCUGAUUCCUUUUUCCACUGCAUUCAUCACAUUUGCCAUCGGAGAUGUGAAAACAAACACCAAACCUGUCUUCAAAUCAGAGACGUGAACACACGUGCUUGUGUUCUCACUCUGCUAACAGCUAACAAGUCAGAGCUCCCUCUUUCAUUUGUCUGUUUUUUUUUUUUUUUUUUUUUUUUUUUUUUUAAUAACACAAUGCGAGAUUGUUGCAUCACAUGUUGCUGCUCAGAGGUUGCAAAGGUUCCCACAUUCUUUACUCAAGUAGAAGUGACAAAGCACAGACUCUGAAAUGUACUCAUCGCCACAUGUCAUGAAUCAUAGAGUCGCAGAGCCGUCACACUACACUCGCUCGGCGGUGAGAGGGGAAGAGGGGAUCGCUCAUGCCAUCCGUCCACCUUCAGCAUCGGACACAGCAAAUUGAUUUUAAUCAGGCAAUAAAGCAGAUCCGAUCCUCCCUCUGUUGACUCACUUUCAUGCCCCGGAGAGGCCGACCCGAUCGACUUUCCCGAUGGAUUUUACUCAUAAUUGCCGAUAGCCCCGUUCAAUACGGACAAUCUCUUUCAUUUUUAGCUGUAUUCAGGGGAGACUGAUGCUGUAUUGGUGUUUGCUGUGAGGUUUCAACAGUUUUAUUCAUCAAAUGCUUUGAUCCUUUAAUUCCUGUAUCCCGCGGCAACGGUUCUGGGAGAGAAAAAAAAAGAUGUGCAGGUCUGAUUGUGUGAGAGCGAGACUCUACUGAUGCCUCAUCCUGAAAUUAACCCGGAAAAGAUACGACAGGAGCGUCUAAAGUGACACUGAAAUAUAAUCAGUGUGCCUGCGCUCGGCUGGUCGCAGAUACAUAUAUUAAUUUUCACUUUUAUUUUUACAGCGAUACUUAUAGGUCACAUUUUUUUUUAAAGAUAGUUGGUGACUGUCUUCUCCCCAGAGGGAGGGGGGGAGUGUAAUAUUCUUAACUUAAUCUCCGGUUCCUCAAAUAUCCACCGAAAAUUAGUUCUGGCUCUCCAAACCGGUUCCGUUCGAGAUUCUUGGAAGCUUUGCUGCUCUCUUUGCAAAUCAACUCCCAUUUCAAGUUUCAAGGUGGAUUUGUCAUGACACUUCUCACAAGGUUACAUAACUAAAUGAAAUGUGUGUUACUUUGUAAUGCUAUGCAAACACUGAACAUGAAAAAAAAACUGUUAUUUAGGCUAUAAGCACAAGCACAUAGACAUGUAUUGCUCACACCCGGGAAAAAGCAAGGUGGUAAUGAUCCACCAGCUUUGAGUUUGAUUACCACGCAUCAGUGACAUAAACACAAAGUCCACCUGUCCUCGUCCUGCUAGCGUCCGGCACCCUGAUGACUCGGAACACGGUUGAGUGCGACAGCUUGGUCGGAGGAGUUGUGUUGCAGACAGAUCUCUGUAAAGAUGUGAGAACGACAGUGGCUGAUUUCCUGAAGUCAAUUCGGGUCCGUUUUGUUUCUCUGCAACCGGACGUUAGCUGGUCAGGUUUCAGAGAUGCCAGUGGCGGUGGACUGUCUGCUUUCUCCUUCAGUGUUGAAUUAAUUUCUGCCAUAGGCAAUUUGUUUUUCCAGCAACAAAGCUAAAAACCCAAAAAAAAAAAAAAAAGAUGGAAAUUGUAGAUACAUUUGAGGAAGCUGAGUUUCCCCCAGUUUUGAGCAGAGCUAUUGAAAUCAAGGAUGUGUCUUUGUUUGAGGGUGUUGCACAGUGUCAUGUAGAAUAUGACAUUCCACUCAGUUUGCUUGGUUUGGUUCCUGCUUGGCAGCGACUUUUUGGUUUCUGGACCAUUUGAUUCUUGGUGGAAAUGCUUUGAAUGUUUCAAAAUAAAGUGCACCAACUAGA